rnacentral:rRNA from 1 species
AUUGAACGCUGGCGGCAGGCCUAACACAUGCAAGUCGAGCGGCAGCACGGGUACUUGUACCUGGUGGCGAGCGGCGGACGGGUGAGUAAUGCCUAGGAAUCUGCCUGGUAGUGGGGGAUAACGCUCGGAAACGGACGCUAAUACCGCAUACGUCCUACGGGAGAAAGCAGGGGGACCUUCGGGCCUUGCGCUAUCAGAUG